UUCCUACGGGGCGCAGCAGUGGGGGAUAUUGCACAAUGGGGGGAACCCUGAUGCAGCGACGCCGCGUGGGCGAUGGAGUGCUUCGGCAUGUAAAGCCCUAUCAGCAGGGAAGAAAAUGACGGUACCUGACUAAGAAGCCCCGGCUAACUACGUGCCAGCAGCCGCGGUAAUACGUAGGGGGCGAGCGUUAUCCGGAUUUACUGGGUGUAAAGGGAGCGUAGACGGUUCUGCAAGUCUGAAGUGAAAGCCCGUGGCUUAACCGCGGAACGGCUUUGGAAACUGUGGAACUGGAGUGCUGGAGAGGC
rnacentral:rRNA from 1 species